GCUCAAACCUUUUUUUACAGAAAGCUUCUCCUACUGCCCAGAAGGAAAAUUUCUUCCCAGUUGCUCACCUAAUUGUGCAUCUUGUCUACAAGCAGAAAGUUUCACUGGCUCUAUCUGUGAUGGAACAUGCCUGCCACUUUCACUGUUAAUGGAAAACAAUGAAGUAUCUGGCAGGAUCAGUUACAUUAAGGUGUGAUUUCCUGCUGGAAUAAGAUCUGGAGGCCAAAGGGGAGACUGAAUGUGAACUAAGCUGUUCAUUCCUGCUUUAGCCAUGCCCUGGAAGAACAUAUCAUACCGCUCAAGUCACUUUAGAGACAUUAAAAAGGCACCAAGAAAUAGUGUUAACAAAGUCAAGACAAAUUGUGUUCAUCUGGAGAGUUAGAGCCAUGGAAACCUGCAGUUAAUGCUGUUGAGGUGCUAAUGAAGUUGAUGGGAAGGAACCCUUUAAAAGGAACUUGGAUUCAGAUGUAGAAGGACUGUAGAUGAGGGGACCAAAGGAUGUCUUUUUGGGCAUGGUGUCCAUGGGCAUGGU